rnacentral:lncRNA from 1 species
AUAAAAUAUAUUUUUUUUUCAUCAUUAUUUUAGUUUGUUUUCAAUAUAUAUAAUUAAAAAUACGUCAUAAUUCCAUUAUAUUAUGACAAAAAUAUGGUUAAAUAACAAUAUAUAUCAAUCAUACACAAAUUAUGAGAACCUUAAAAGGUUAGAAGGAUAUUGAUGAACUCGAGAAGGUGAGGAGAACUCAAAAAUCCAUGAAAGAUAAGAUAUCAAUGGUGGAAGUAAAGGAAAAAAUCCAUGGUGACUUCGACAUUCAACAAAAAUCGAAGAACAAAUUGUAAGAAAUGGAUUAAGGCAAAAUAUGGAAGGAGAACAUCUCACCUCAAAGAAUAAAUGUAUGGAGAUUCAUCACUUGAGAAAACUUCUCAGAAUAAGAACCAAAGCA